rnacentral:lncRNA from 1 species
UGGAGUGAACUUGAACCUGAGCCAUUGAUUGGUCUCUCUGUAGACAGCUUUUAAAUCCCCUUUUGGCAUUAAACUGGGGGUUCUGGAUCUUUUCCCUCUGAGGCCUGUAGCCCCGCUAGCCUAACUCUCACGUAGCUGUAGAUGACCUUAAGCUUCCUGUCUCAACCUUCUAAGGUCUGGGAUUUCAGGUAGGUGCCACUAUGCCUGUUUUUUUGUUUUUAUGGUUUUGGGGUUUUGGUUUUGUUAUGUUUUGUUUUUCAAGACAGGGUUUCUCUGUGUAGCCCUGGGUGUCCUGGAACUCACUCUGUAGACAAGGCUGGCCUCGAACUCAGAGAUCUGCCUGCCUCUGCCUGGUUUAUACAGUGCUGGAGACUGAACCCAGGGUUUCUCACAUCCUAGGCAAGCACUCCCCCGGGUGGCAUCCCAAGCCCUGGUCCUAUUUCUGGACCCCGUGUCUCCUCUCCUAACUUAACUGUGGUUUUGUCACACAUUUAAUAACUUCUGAGGUGAGUUUGGAAGUUGAAUUUUUAAAGCCUUCAGUAUCUGGAAAUGUUUAUCUCUCAUACACUUAAGGGAUUCUUCAAAAUUGUGUUUCCUUCAGAAUGUCAGAAUUGUUCUACUGCCUUAAGGUCCUGAUUUUCAGAAUUCCCUUGGGGCUCUCUGCCUCAUGAUAGUUCUCAGUGGCCUGUUUCUGUUUUACAGAUGGGUUUGGGAGCCUUACCUGUAUCCCUACUCCUUGCACUAGCACAUAUGAAGCACAUACAUACAUACAUACAUACAUACAUACAAUUAAAGGACUGGACAAGAUCUCACUAUGUAAACAUGGCUGGCCUCAGACUCACUGGGUGGGAUUUAAAGGCUUAUACUGUCACACCUAAGAGGGGUAAAAACUUUAAGAUACCUGGGGCAACCUAGAAAAAGGUUUGUGUAGGCUCAUGGUUCUGAAGGUGCAGUCCAUCGUCAUCGGUCUCUAUGCUUUUAGCUUCUGUCAUGGUAACCUAUCCUGGCAGGUAUGCUUGACAGAGCACAGUCACACAUACCAUCAGCCAGGAGACAGAAUGAACCAGGCUCCCACAGUCCCCUUCCAGAGCAUAUGCUAGAGACCCAAAGACUCCACCUUCUAGUCAUUUCCACCCUUCGGACCAGUCCUUUAACACCUGAUCAUUCAGAGGUCUUAAACAGUGAAACAAUCUUGCCCAUCCUCCUUAUAAGUUGCCACAAUAAACAGAUUAGACACAAAACACAAAGGCCCUUAGGUUACAUAUUUUAUUAAAACAUCCUCUCAGAACGUAGAUAAAUGAGCUGAAGGGGCUUUAGGGUCCACCCAGAGUUGUUGAUGAAGCCCUGUAGCAUCUCCAGCUUCGUGUCCAAAAGUCAUAAAUUAGUACAAGUCACAGGUUCCUGGUUACCCUACAGUGGUCAUUUUGAAGCUUUUACAGCUUUUUGUUUGCUUCCCUUCCAAAUCCCAUUGACUCAUAGCUUUGCUGGUGUCUAGGACAAUGCCUUCCUGUCUGCUGGCUCUCCAUUCAGAGAGAUCACCGUGUCCAGGAACAGGAGUGAAAGGACUUGCUACACAAGAUUCCCAUUUGAAUGCUAGGGACAGAGCUGGGUUCCAAGGGUGCUGGUGUGUCUGCCGCAUUUCCCUGGCUCCACCUUAGUCUUUCAAAGGCAGGCAGAGGAACUUACUUUCCAGGUGGGAUAGGGUUAGAAAAAGAUGGUGACUGAAGCCUUGGUGUGGGACAUUUGCAAGGUCUCUCCCACACCUGGUCACAUCUACACUGCGCAGGACAGCUGUGUCUCCUUUUGCAUGGCAGGUGGGCGCUGGCCAGUUGGAGCAAAAGUAUUAUGGCCCAGACAAUGUCCUUGGUGCUCAGGUCCUGCCAUCCCCUCACCCUGGACACUUAGGGGACCAUUCUCAUGAUGCAGCCGCCACUCAAGUGGCAAUCACAGAGAGGACUGGACUUGGCUUUGUGGUCUGUGGGUCCAGAGUGACACCUCUUCCCCGCUUCAGGAUGGAGCGGCAUCCAUCCAGGCUGCCUGCUUCCUAGGCUUCUGUUUCUGAAGGACAGGAGUGACAGCUGUGUCUGAGGAUUUGUUUCUUAAAGUGAAGUGGCCAGAACAGCAGCAGCACAGUACCUAGGAGCCUGUUAAGAAACACAAAAUCUUGGCCCCUGCCCUAGGCUACCCAAACAAGAGCUUGCAUUUUAACCAGGUGAGUGGGUAAAUUUUCUACAGUACGUUAGAGAAGUAGGGAUCAAUAUAAGAACAGACAAGUGCUUGUGGGAACGAUUAAGCUCCAAUUUGAAAGUAAAUAUUUUUGCUCUUUCCUCCCCUGGUCCCUGUUUUGUGGCACUAGGGCUUUAUGGGGUAGGCAAGCAAACUCUAGCAGGAAGUUAUUAAUACAUCCUUAGAACCCAGCCCCUCCCUACAUCCUGCCUCCCAGAAACGGACUUUGUAGCCCAGGCUGACCUCAAACCUGUGGCAGUCUAAUUGCCUCUAUCACUCAACUGCUGGGGUUGUAACUGUGUGUGCCACCAUGCCCAGCAAAUGCUAGGUUUUUAAUAGACAGUAUUUCAAAUCUACAGAGAAUCUAGCAUAAUUCUGGACAAAGCUCAGGGGCUUAAUACAUAUUAUGGAUGAGUGUCUACAUGUAACUGAGAAUAUUUAGCAUUCACUGUGUGUCAGGUACUGUGCGGAGGUCCUUGCAUGCAUUCAUUAAAUGCUCAAAUGGAUUUAUAGUGUAGGAGCAAUGGUAGGAAGAAAAGGGUUAAUAGACCCAAGACCCCAAGCAGUCAGGUGUCAGGUAAGCACAUCUCAUUGCUGUUUGUGGCCAUGGGUGGAAUGGGUAUCAGGGGAAACCCUGACCCCCCAGAGCCCUUGUUGAUUACCUGAAUCUGUCUCCAGAUGCUGCAUCAAGUUUUCUGAAGAAAGGAGAAACAAAGAUCUGUGAGACUUAAUAUCUCCUACAGAUACUCCCAAGGGGAGGGUGUCCUGGCUAGAGCGUGAGGACAGGGAUACACGAGAAGUGUGCCUCACCUGCCUGGACCUCCAGGGCCUCUAUCCUUGGACAGGGGAGACCACAAUCUGGGGAACUGCUCCCUGAGUAGAGUGAGGUCUUGUGGGAAGGUAUGAGGAGAGAAGAUGCUUAACCCAAGCCACUGUUUGCUUAUUUUUGUUUGGGUUUCACUAUGUAGUCCAAGCUAGCCUCCUGCCUCAGUCUCCCUAGUGUUGGCAUUACAGACAUGUCCUACUAUGCUUGAUGGUUAUGGACCAGGUAUUGAAAUUGAGGAAAGAUGGAGACAGGUGGAAGGUAGAACACCUAAUGGGAUCCUGAACCCCUUUACCUGAAAAUGUCCUCAUCAUCUUUGGGAGGCUAAGUAUUUUCCUGUGGAGGUUUCGGAUCUUCUUGACAAGAUCAGAGGAAAUGGCCUCUGGGCUCACAAAAGUCUUCAGCUCGUACCUGCAGACAAGUUGGAAGUCAAAUUCCAAAAAUAAAAUACUUCAUUUUAUCUAUGU